rnacentral:lncRNA from 1 species
GCCCGUCCCCUCCCACCGCGGCCCCGCUCGUGGAGCCAAGUUCAAACCGUGAGCGGCGGCGGAGCGGGACGUGGCGGGGGCCGGCUGGGCCCCCUUCUCCGGGAGCCGGCGCGGGGCUGCGGGGCUCCAUGAUUCUCCCCAGGGCGCUCUCCUGCGCUGUUCUGCUCCUCCUGGUCACCGCCGUGCUGAGCAGAGGCAAGAGGUGCAGCAUCGCCAAAAUCCUGCGGCAGUACCGUGCCGUCAUCUUCCACGAGAUCCAGAACCUGAAAAACCUGAGCGGAUCGGCAGACAGGAACAGCCGAGCCGGGCCAGCCUGCCGUUCGGACAAGGACCAGAAGAUCCUGCUGUCCAUCUACAACAUCAGCAUGUCCCUGCGGGACGUGGCGGCCGGCACGCUGCGUGGCCCCGAGGAGGUGGCGGUGUGGAAGGUGGCCAGGAACACGGAGGUCGUGCUUAGGGACUGCAGGAAAAUCUGCAAGAGCCUGCCGCCAGCCCCGGCGCAGCCCCGGCGCGGAGGGCCCGGCCGCCGCAGGAAGCAGCUGAAGGAGAUCGCGCGGAAGGCGGAGAGGCUGGCGACGUGCUGGGAGAAGCUCUACGCGCUCCGCUCCCCCGGCCGGGACGCCCGGGACUCGUAGGUCCUGCCUCCGCGGCGGCACGGUGGCGCCCGUCACCUCGCCCUCCCCGGCAGGUGUCUUGUUCCCAAACCUGGGGCAAAUUCAACUCCGCAGUCGGCUGAGUCGAUACCGGCGGGUGCCAGAGUUGAAUUCGUCCUCUCGUUUCAAGUGAUGCCCUGGGAACCAGCCCUGGCGCAGGUGCUGGAUGCCGGCGGGCUCCUUCCCUGUAGGAUGGCUGCACAAGCUGGCUGGAAAACCAGAAACUGGGGGAAGAGGAGGGGGCAGUGCUGGAAAAAGGAAGAGACAUUAAUUUCCGUGAUGCUCCUGUCCCUGGCUAUGCAUCGCCCGCCAUUUUCUUGGGGACAACGGUUGCUUUUCCGAGCAUGAGGAGGAGGAGGAUUUGGGUCACGGGCCUGAGAUUCCUGUUGGAACUGGACUGCUGAAUAUCUGCAAGUCUCUGAUGGUGGCCAGGGUGUGUGCACGGACAAAUGUCCUUCUUGCAUGACUGUGGCCCUGAGAUGUGCGGAGCAGCGUAACCCCAGAGGUCGGGGGUGACCUGGAUGCAGGACUGUGGGCACUGGGGAAGCAAACAGGAGCCGCUGGCCGCUGAGGGCAAAUAAGCAGCAAAAAGGGGGGAAUGGUGGCCAAACCUCUUGAACCUGGUGGAGAUGGGCAGCAUCUCCUGGCCAGCGUGUGAGUGUGGCGGGACCCGGCUCCUCGGAGGCAUGGGCACCCUGGCACCCCGAGGCGCUGCAGUGGCUUGGUGAGCGGAGGAGCCCUCCGUCCUUGCGUGCGCCCCUGCUGCCCUCGGGUGGGCAAUAGCCCCCUGUUAGAAGAAAAUAAAACCUCUCCUUCCCCUGGAGGCCUCUGCCUG